UGUGCAGUUCCAGAGAACAAGGCCUGCGUACCAACCCCCAUUGUGGUUUCUGCAGGCAGAUGUGUUUCAUUUCAACUGUGACGUGCGACGGAUCUCACCUGUACAACUGAAAAAUAUAUUCUGGUAAAACACCUGAUACCUUCCAUCAAAACAUGAAAAGAAAUGGAGCAUUGCAAAGGAGAUCAUCCUUUUGCUGUACUGACAAUGCAGUGUACCUCAGUUUGUUAAUUCUACCACAAAGUGAAAGUUUGAGUUAAUUCAUGCAGCCAUGAGGAAGUGUUUGAACUAUCAAACAAUAAACUCUAGAAUGGAUUCUU